rnacentral:rRNA from 1 species
GAAAAGAAAUCAACCGAGAUUCCCUUAGUAGUGGCGAGCGAACGGGGACCAGGCCAGUGUUCAGAAACAAUCAACCGGAAGCGUUUGGAAAGGCGCACCUUAGGGGGUGAUAGUCCCGUACGGGUACAGGUUGUUUUUGGGCCUUGAGUAAGGCGGGGCACGUGAAACCCUGUCUGAACGUGGGGAGACCACUCUCCAAGCCUAAGUACUCCUAUGCGACCGAUAGUGAACCAGUACCGU